GUAUCAAGAGUUGCCUGCCAGUUAAAACUUUUAACAAAAGCCUUGUUGUGGUAACAAUGUUUAGUUAUAACAAUGUCACACUGGGUAACCGGCACCAGUGAUGACAGAUCGCUGCAGUGAUGACAGAACUCUAAAGUUUACUGAUUGCUACAGAUAAAGCACAGAACAAUGUUGGGAGAUAAUACAGAAGUAAAGUGCACCAUGAUUUAUAUAUAGAAGAAGGUUAAUUGCUGGAGAUUUUGUAAAUUAUCUGAACAUGGUAUAAGAUGUAGGAGAGAUUGAAGAAAUAAAUCAAAACAUUCUGGCAUUUCUGUCACCAAUAGUAACAAAACCACUUUCACAAAACUACCUAUAUUUUUUGUAUUGUUGUGGUGAUUUGACUAAAUUUUCAAAAUACUUGUUUUGUGUAUAUUUUAACUUUGCUUACUUUUUAUUGUGUGGCUUUUAAAAAGUUGACAUAUAUGGGUUUCUUUUGUUGGCGGUGUCCCCUUACGCUUGUCUGGAGCAUAACUCAGUCACUGUAAGUCGGAUGACUCCAAACUUUGUAUGCAUGCUUUUUUCAUUGACUUAAUUUACAGUUCACAAGAGUUGUUACUCUGCACUUCUUAGUUUUUGAGUUAUUUCCCUUUGUUAAUUUCAUUUAUUUUUGUUUGGGCCAUUUCUCCUUAACUAUAAAAGCUAUGGACUUAAAACUUCAUAGGAUGAUAAAUCUCAUUGAGAAGAAGUGCAGUGCAUAAGAACUUUUACUCUGCACUUCAUGAUUUUUGAGUUAUUACCCUUUGUUAAUUUUCAUACUUAAUAGGCUUGUGGAGAGCAUACAUGUAACUUGGUCAUUAUAAGUUUGAUUGACUCCAAAUUUGUUAUGUUAGCAUUAUUCAUUGACCUGAAGUGCAGUGCACAAGAAUUGUUACUCUGUACUUAUUUUUGCUUAAGAAAUAAUAUAUCCCAAACAGUGAUUUUAUCGCUCAAUAACAUCACUGUUUGAAGUUCAGAUGCGAGGAAUUAUAUCACGAGGGCGUAGCCCGAGUGAUAUAAUGAUGCGCAUCCGAACGACAAACAGUGAUGUUAUCAAGCGAUAAAAUCACCGAUUUGGAUAUAUUAUUUCGAUUCUAACACGACAUCAACAAAAUAAAUGCUGGCGUACUUGAUAUUAAGCAAAAUUGCUCCUGAUUUGUUCCCGUACUUAUUUUCAGCGCGUUGGAUUUUUGGUGGUUAAUGAUUACGUCACAUGUCUAAAUAUAGAACGUCAAACUGUGACUCUGUUGCAUAAUAACACACACUUUCGGUUUUUCUAUGUUCAAUAGGGAAAAAUGCGGGUCGUGUUAGAAUCUUUGUUAAUUUUCAUACAAGUCAUUUCUCUCCUAUAUUAUAAAAGCUGUGGACUUGAAACUCUAUAGGAUGAUAGAUCUCAUUGAGAACUGGUACUGUGAAAUUAUUAUUUAUUACAAUCAGUUCAAAUGCCACUUAAGUGAAAGGUACAUAAUACAUUGCAAGAGCAGUUUUUAUAAAUAACCUAUAAGAAAAUGACUAUCUUUCAGCUAUAUACUGUUGACAAGGGGACACAAUCCAACUCAUGGAGUUCCAGUUUAUAACAUGAUUGUUAGAUAAAUUUUUAGUGGGAAUACAUGUGUAUUAUUGUGAACCUGGCCCUGAUUGAAAUAAUUAUCAUAUCUGAAGUAUUGAAAUUUUUAUAUUUAUGCAAAACAAAUAAAUUAUUGCAUCAUAAUAAGGGCUGUGCAUUGCAAUGUUUUCCUUUACUUAAUACUUUUUAUCACAGUAUUUGUAUAUGUAUCACAAUAUCGUAUAAUAUAUGUAUCACAGUAUUUGUUAUUCAAACAAUGCAGUUAUUGAUAUGUAUUGCAAAAGCAAAUGACUUGUGAUGAAUGCAUCAUUUAAGUGGUGAUACAAUAUACAUUUCAUAAUACAUGUACUUACUUUCAAAUUUGAAACUUUUCACAAUGUCAAAGAACAAAAUACUGUUACUAAAAUAACAUAUCAUUGUAAUAGCA